UUCUAAGGGCGUUGAAGCAUGAUCGCAAGGACAUGUGGAGCGCUUAGAAGUGAGAAUGCCGGUGUGAGUAGCGAAAGACGGGUGAGAAUCCCGUCCACCGAUUGACUAAGGUUUCCAGAGGAAGGCUCGUCCGCUCUGGGUUAGUCGGGUCCUAAGCUGAGGCCGACAGGCGUAGGCGAUGGAUAACAGGUUGAUAUUCCUGUACCACCAUUAUUCGUUUUAAGCGAUGGGGGGACGCAGUAGGAUAGGCGAAGCGUGCUGUUGGAGUGCACGUCCAAGCAGUGAGAUUGAGUGUUAGGCAAAUCCGGCACUCUUAAGAUUGAGCUGUGAUGGGGAGAGGAACUUGUUCCUCGAGUCGUUGAUUUCACACUGCCGAGAAAAGCCUCUAGCUAGAAUAACGGUGCCCGUACCGCAAACCGACACAGGUAGUCAAGAUGAGAAUUCUAAGGUGAGCGAGCGAACUCUCGUUAAGGAACUCGGCAAAAUGACCCCGUAACUUCGGGAGAAGGGGUGCUCUUUGAGGUUCACGCUUCGAAGAGCCGCAGUGAAUAGGCCCAAGCGACUGUUUAUCAAAAACACAGGUCUCUGCUAAACCGUAAGGUGACGUAUAGGGGCUGACGCCUGCCCGGUGCUGGAAGGUUAAGAGGAGUGGUUAGCGCAAGCGAAGCUACGAAUCGAAGCCCCAGUAAACGGCGGCCGUAACUAUAACGGUCCUAAGGUAGCGAAAUUCCUUGUCGGGUAAGUUCCGACCCGCACGAAAGGCGUAACGAUUUGGGCACUGUCUCAACGAGAGACUCGGUGAAAUCAUAGUACCGGUGAAGAUGCCGGUUACCCGCGACAGGACGGAAAGACCCCGUGGAGCUUUACUGUAGCCUGAUAUUGAAAUUCGGUACAGUUUGUACAGGAUAGGUAGGAGCCUUAGAAGCGUGAGCGCUAGCUUACGUGGAGGCAUUGGUGGGAUACUACCCUAAUUGUAUUGGAUUUCUAACCCGCAGCACUUAUCGUGCUGGGAGACAGUGUCAGGCGGGCAGUUUGACUGGGGCGGUCGCCUCCUAAAGAGUAACGGAGGCGCUCAAAGGUUCCCUCAGAAUGGUUGGAAAUCAUUCAUAGAGUGUAAAGGCAUAAGGGAGCUUGACUGCGAGACCUACAAGUCGAGCAGGGUCGAAAGACGGACUUAGUGAUCCGGUGGUUCCGCAUGGAAGGGCCAUCGCUCAACGGAUAAAAGCUACCCCGGGGAUAACAGGCUUAUCUCCCCCAAGAGUUCACAUCGACGGGGAGGUUUGGCACCUCGAUGUCGGCUCAUCGCAUCCUGGGGCUGUAGUCGGUCCCAAGGGUUGGGCUGUUCGCCCAUUAAAGCGGUACGCGAGCUGGGUUCAGAACGUCGUGAGACAGUUCGGUCCCUAUCCGUCGUGGGCGUAGGAAAUUUGAGAGGAGCUGUCCUUAGUACGAGAGGACCGGGAUGGACAUACCUCUGGUGUACCAGUUGUCGUGCCAACGGCAUAGCUGGGUAGCUAUGUAUGGACGGGAUAAGUGCUGAAAGCAUCUAAGCAUGAAGCCCCCCUCGAGAUGAGAUUUCCCAACUUCGGUUAUAAGAUCCCUCAAAGAUGAUGAGGUGAAUAGGUUCGAGGUGGAAGCGU
rnacentral:rRNA from 1 species